AGCGAACGUUUGCGGCGGGCUUAACACAUGCAAGUCGAACGAGAAUCCCUUCGGGGAGGAAAGUGGCGCACGGGUGCGUAACACGUGGAUAACCAACCCAUUGGUUUGGGACAACACCGGGAAACUGGUGCUAAUACCAGAUGUGUCGCAGCUGUCUUCAGGCGGUUGCGAGAAAGGCCCGCAAGGGUCGCCAACGGACGGGUCCGCGUCCCAUCAGCUAGUUGGUGAGGUAAUGGCUCACCAAGGCAAAGACGGGUAGCUGGUCUGAGAGGAUGAUCAGCCACACUGGAACUGAGACACGGUCCAGACUCCUACGGGAGGCAGCAGUGGGGAAUAUUGCGCAAUGGGCGAAAGCCUGACGCAGCCACGCCGCGUGAGCGAUGAAGGUCUUCGGAUCGUAAAGCUCUGUGGGGGGAGAAGAAGAAAGCCGGUGAAGAGCCGGCCCUGACGGUAUCCCUUACGCAAGCACCGGCUAACUCCGUGCAGCAGCCGCGGUAAAGUAUCG
rnacentral:rRNA from 1 species